AGCUCAGAUUGUUUUUAUAGUACAUUCGUAUCUGAGUCCACUGUGUUAUUAUUCAAAUUACACAAAAACAUUAAAUAUUAAUCUGGCCAGUAUCCAUCAAACCCAAUUGAAAAAAAUCAAUCCCGGAGAUGAGAAUGUUAGUGUCAUAUUUCAGCCUUCUUUUGCAAAACAAGGGGAAAAGUUUAGUGCAUACAAUGCAGAAAAUUCUAGCAGGAUUUAUUUCAAUUCUUUUCUUUUUCAAGUUUACCAGAGUAAAUAUUUGUGCAGCUGAAAGUGUUGCUAGUAGCAGGUUCUUUUUGGCUGCCUCGGGCAAGGCAGAUAUCUCACCCUAGCCUGAACAUCAGGUUUGGAAGAAAUUAGUCCAUUAUAUAAGGUGUUGCCAUUGUCCACACACAGCUUCAUGUUUGCCUGCGUGGACCCUCAGCACCACACAGUUGUUUGAUGAUACUGCGUUAUGUAUACAUAUCUCAGGCUGCAAACAUAGGUAGGCCAACCUAAAUAUUUUUGUAAAAGUGAAUCUAAAUUCUAUCUUGAAUUCCCUAUAUUUAUCACUGAGAGUGAAUUUUGUCUUGUCCCUUUUCAGGCAAACUCAGCAAAUUCAAUGGGCUCCAUUACUUUAAGUUUAUACUUCUGUCCCUCCCAUUUUCUCCCUGUUGUGGCAUCUAAGUUUUGAAGGGACUUUGUAGAACACGGGUGUUCAGACAGAGUUGGUGAGUCAUAAACAUCUGAUUCAAUACAUUUUUUUGAAAAGUGAUUCUCUCUUCUAAUCUUUGGAUUCUGUCCCUGCUGCCUCUGUCCCCACUCACUGCUGAUGCUCUUCUUUGGAUUGUUAUCAGCAAAGAACUGAUAAUAAUAGUGCUGUUCUGCGUUACUCCAGGGCCCACAGAAAACUCAAUAGUGUCCCCUGAGUCCAGCAACGCCAUGUUAUCACUUCAAUAUUGCCAUUUCCAUGGCACCAUAGCAUGAAGCACAUAGGCAUGAAUAUUUCCUAUACAAGUUGCAGAUGGAAGUCAGGACACAGUAUUCUUUUUGUGUUAGUUAGGAUGGGUCAGGUUAUGCUAUGCUGAAUGCUUCCCAAAUAUAAGUGGCUUAGAUGGUCAAAGGUUUAUUCCUCACUUUUCUAGGCUUCCUGGGUCAGCCCUGGAGCCAUUCCACACCCUCUUCUCUCCUGGCCAUGGGAUCCAGCCUGUUGGAGCUGGUAUUGCUGAUAUCAGGGUAGAGGGAAAAGAGAGUAAAAUGAACCUGGUCCUGCUUAGUAAAGCUCACACAUUAUUGGCCAAAGCAAGUCAAGUGGAUAGGCUUGAGAGCAAUGCACAGAUAAGUGUAAGUCUCUCCUAGAACAGCACAGGUUACAGUUCUAAAUACAACUGACCACAUUGUUCCUACAUUCCUGAACUGAAGGGAGGAUCUAAGAUUCUCUAAUAACUUAACCUGAGGAGUGGUGAGAUGUCAGAAACCCCACACCCCUGGCUUUCAGUGUUGUUUCUUUUCCAAAUUCUCCUCCUGGAGUCAGGAAAUCCUAUCUGGUCUCCAGGGAGGGGCGUCGGGUUCUUCAUCUGUUCUCUUCUCAUGGAUUGUUUGUGGACAUAAAGUUCAUAUUCUGCUUCUUUCUGCAGUUGGCCCUUUGAAGCUCCAGAGAACCCACCUUUUACAAAUCACCAAUCUUGGUGUUUAAGAUCAUUAUUUUUGUUAUGAGUGUAAGAAAACCUAGUUAGGAGCCAAGUAGCUGAAAAUAAGCUUUCUUUGCUCUAUUUCUUUUUCUUUUAAAGAUUUGUUGUUUAUCUUUUUGUUUUGUAUUGUCCCUUGAUUAGUGGUGGGCUGAGGAGUCACAGGGGCAACAAAGGAAGGUAAUCAAAGAAAACCUCAAUUAUUAUAUCCAGAUGCAAGUCCAUCACAAUGGGAAAUAGUGAAGUGGCUGAAUGAAACCUGGGUGCUGGUACUCUGAGUGACUUUUAGAGCUGGCUUCCCUGGGUAGUGAAUUGCUGUCGCCCAUCCCACGGUCUCCAAGGCUCAUUGAGAAGAAUGUAUAAAAGAUUUACAAUGCUGGCUUCCUGCUUUCUUUAGGACCUUUCCUUUAAGAAUAACCAUGUUUGUCCAUGGCAGAGGACUAGCCAAGCUCACAAGUAUGCUCCACUAACACCCAAGUGAACCCAUAUGAGAUUAGAAUGAAGCAGAAAAUGAGUAAAACAGGAACCUCAAUUUAAGAGUCUGGUUUCUUGGACCAUUUAAAAGUUAACAAACCCUCGUAUCUCCAUUAGACUAUAUACAUUUUCUUUUACUUAUGAUUAUUUGUGAAUAACUUAAAAUAUCAUUUUAAGAU
rnacentral:lncRNA from 1 species